AUCUGAGUGACUUUGACAAGAGGAAAUAGUGAUGGUUAUACGACUGAGUCAGAACAUCUCCAACAUGGCAAGUCUAGGGGGUGUUCCCAGUAUGCGGUGGUUAGUAUCUACCAAAAGUGGUGCAGGGAAGGACAAGCGGUGAAGGUCACGGGCUCCCAAGGCUCAUUGAUGCACGUGGGGAGCGAAGGCUAGGCUGUCUAAUAUGAUCACACUGUAGCUAAAAUUGCUGAAAAACCUAUAUCAUGAUGGCCAUGAUAUAAAGGUGUCAAAACGCACAGUACAUAGCAGUUUGCUGCUUAGCUGCAGACCAAUCAGAGUUCCUAUGAUGACCCUUGUCCACCAUUGAAAGUGCAAAAGUGCCUUCAAUGGGGACAUGAACACCAGAACUAAACUGUGGGGAAAUGGAAAAAGGCUGCCUUGUCUAAUGGAUCACGUUUUCUUUUAGAUCAGGUAGAAGGUCGGGUGCAUGUCUCUUUUUUACCUGCAGAAGAGAUGGCAGCAGGAUGUACUAUGGGAAGCAGGCCGGCCGAGGCAGUGUUAUGUGCUGGGCAAUGUUCUGCUUGGAAACCUUUGGUCCUGGCAUUCAUACGGAUGUUGCUUUGAUAUGUACAAUCUAACUAGAGAUUGUUGCAGACCACGU